rnacentral:rRNA from 1 species
AACGAACGCUGGCGGCAGGCUUAACACAUGCAAGUCGAGCGCCCCGCAAGGGGAGCGGCAGACAGGUGAGUAACGCGUGGGAAUCUACCCAUCCCUACGGAAUAACGCAUGGAAACGGGUGCUAAUACCGUAUACGUCCUUCGGGAGAAAGAUUUAUCGGAGAUGGAUGAGCCCGCGUUGGAGUAGCUAGUUGGUGGGGUAAAGGCCUACCAAGGCGACGAUCCAUAGCCGGUCUGAGAGGAUGAUCAGCCACCCUGGGACCGAGACACGGCCCAGACUCCUACGGGAGGCAGCAGUGGGGAAUAUUGGACAAUGGGCGCAAGCCUGAUCCAGCCAUGCCGCGUGAGUGAUGAAGGCCCUAGGGUUGUAAAGCUCUUUCACCGGUGAAGAUAAUGACGGUAACCGGAGAAGAAGCCCCGGCUAACUUCGUGCCAGCAGCCGCCGUAAAAC